AUACGUAGGGUGCGAGCGUUGUCCGGAAUUACUGGGCGUAAAGAGCCCGUAGGUGGUUUGUCGCGUCGUCUGUGAAAUUCCGGGGCUUAACUCCGGGCGUGCAGGCGAUACGGGCAUAACUUGGGUACUGUAGGGGAGACUGGAAUUCCUGGUGUAGCGGUGAAAUGCGCAGAUAUCAGGAGGAACACCGGUGGCGAAGGCGGGUCUCUGGGCAGUAACUGACGCUGAGGAGCGAAAGCAUGGGUAGCGAACAGGAUUAGAUACCCUGGUAGUCCAUGCCGUAAACGGUGGGCGCUAGGUGUAGGGGUCUUCCACGACUUCUGUGCCGUAGCUAACGCAUUAAGCGCCCCGCCUGGGGAGUACGGCCGCAAGGCUAAAACUCAAAUGAAUUGACGGGG
rnacentral:rRNA from 1 species